AUAAAUCCAGCGGCGUCUCAGCUCUCCUCGACGAGGACGGACAACGGUGCAACGAAAAAAGUAUCAAGAACAGAGAUAGGAGAAUCGAUGGCUACGUUCGCGACGUCGACGGCGGCGGUGAUGGGAUCGGCUCGCCCGGGGCGGGUGGCCGGGCCUCGGCGGUGCGUGGUGGCGCGGGCGUCCUCGACGAUGGCGGCACCGGCGGCCCUGGCGACGGGAAGGACGCACUACGAUGUGCUCGGCGUGAGCGCCGGGGCGAGCAGGGGGGAGAUCAAGGCGGCGUACCGGCGUCGGGCCAGGGAGGUGCACCCGGACGCUGCUGGUGGCGUCGGCGACGAGGGGUUCAUCCAGCUCCACGCGGCUUACGCCACGCUCGCUGACCCCGACGAGCGCGCUCGCUACGACAGCGACAUGGCCUGCCGCGCCGCCGGGACGAUGAUGAUGCGACGGGCGGGCGCGGCUGGGCCGUCGUUCCGGCGGAGGACGUGGGAGACUGACCAGUGCUGGUAGGACGUACGGCCGGCAAACGCGGCGGCCCUCCGGGCCCCCAACCGGCUGCCGCCCGGUUCGCUCAGGCACGGCGCUGGCGAGAAGAUCCUGACGGCUAUCCUGCAACGUACGAUCAGGAUUGGACGUCCCAGAUCGGGCGAUGCGGACGCGGGAGCUCUGUACACAUCAAGAGGCGUUUUUAAAGAUCUCUUGUGCGUCCGAUCUCAGAGUAAACAGAAGACAAAGAACAGAGAAUUAGGAAAACAAAACUUUGGAGGUAAUUCUUAUUUUACUCCUCUUUUACCCCCAGGCGGUUUAUUUUCUAUGCGAUUAGGCAAGCAAUACAAUCACGCCAUUACAGUCAUACGAACCGUUUGAUACGGAAAAACAUGGCCUAGAUCAAUGCUCUCGUUUACAUGUGGAUUUGAGUCAUUUUUUUUCACAUAACACCCCCUACGGUGACACUAUGUGUUGGACUCUUCAUCCUUAAUCAUCCCCAAAUCUACCCCUCUCUUCUUCCUCUGGAAAUUCCUUUUAGGGCUGCAUUGUUUUUGUAGGCCAACAAUGCAAUAUGAGAUUCCUCUACCCACUGCCAUGAGGUGGUGCUCCAAACGGUUAGGCUCAGGGCCGACCUAAAUAUAGGACAAUAAGGCCCAACAGCGGAGCUUGAGCCAAAAACAUUAGGGG